ACGGGGUGCAGCAGGCGCGAAAACUUUGCAAUGUGCGAAAGCACGACAAGGUUAAUCCGAGUGGUUUCUGCUAAAGGAACCUUUUGUUAGUCCUAGAAACACUAACGAAUAAGGGGUGGGCAAGUUCUGGUGUCAGCCGCCGCGGUAAAACCAGCACCUCAAGUGGUCAGGAUGAUUAUUGGGCCUAAAGCAUCCGUAGCCUGAUCUGUAAGUUUUCGGUUAAAUCUGUACGCUCAACGUACAGGCUGCCGGGAAUACUGCAGAUCUAGGGAGUGGGAGAGGUAGACGGUACUCGGGAGGAAGUGGUAAAAUGCUUUGAUCUCUCGAUGACCACCUGUGGCGAAGGCGGUCUACCAGAACACGUCCGACGGUGAGGGAUGAAAGCUGGGGGAGCAAACCGGAUUAGAUACCCGGGUAGUCCCAGCUGUAAACUAUGUAAACUCAGUGAUGCAUUGGCUUGUGGCCAAUGCAGUGUUGCAGGGAAGCCGUUAAGUUUACCGCCUGGGAAGUACGUACGCAAGUAUGAAACUUAAAGGAAUUGG
rnacentral:rRNA from 1 species